GUAGUGCCACCCCUGUUAUCUAGAAAACCAUAGAAGAAGUUGGUCAUGUGACCACAUCUUUUUGAAGAGGCAUCCAUUUCAAUCAUCCUGCAAAGAAGAGAGACACAUGGCUUGAGAGACCAAAAUCCAUCAUGCCACGCAAAUACAAAAGGAAGACAGACAGGGUUUCAACUCCUCUUGAGGAGUUGGAAAGAGCAGUGAAAGAGGUGCAACAGGGGAAGACCAUACGUCUUCUUCCCUUGCCAAAAGCCACAUAAAGAAAAAAAAAAUUGUAAGAAAGAAAGUGAAAACAAGAAUCGUGACCGACACACCUGAGAAGAUGGAGUUGGAGAAGGCUCACAAAGAAAAAGAAGAUAAAAAGGCUGAACAGGAAAAGAAAAAGAAUGAAAGAGAGAAGAAAAGGGCUCUGAAAG